UCAAUGUGUGCAGCUGGAGGGAGGAUAUGGCCUUCUGUAGGAGGAGAAAUUCCGGUUCAUUAUGCUGUGUGUAGGAAGUGGCUUUAUGCAAUGCUGUCACGAGCACAGGGAGUCAAGAAAUGCAUCCCUACUGAAGCAUGUGAAAAUGCUGUGAUCUGAUUACCAAAAAUGAGUGGAAGGCUCAUGACAGAAUCAACAUCAGAGUGGCAUCAUGGUGCAGGAGUGCCGGCUGAGAGAUCUGCACACCCCAGCUGCGGAGAAGCUCCUGACAGCAGCACUUCCCAGAGAGGGGAAAGAUCUGGGUAGCUCUCCUCUGCACUGCCAGUGACCCCCUGCCUCCCUCUUCCCUGCAUCCUCUGUGCCCCACACCAGCUAGCCCAUGGAGAAAGGAAGACACAGGAGUGCAGCAGCAGGUCCAUGGGCCUGAAGAUGGUGCCCAGGUGCAGUGGUGAAGGAUUUAUCCAUGGAGACUCAGAGGGAAGCAUGCCAACUGCUAUGCUGAAUCUCCAACAUUUCCCACAGCACCCACGAGAUCCCAGGUGGCCCAGCCUUGCCAGUUUGGGA